UACGUAGGGUGCAAGCGUUGUCCGGAAUUACUGGGCGUAAAGAGCGCGCAGGCGGUCGAUCAAGUCGCGUGUGAAAGCCCCCGGCUCAACUGGGGAGGGUCACGCGAUACUGAUCGACUCGAAGGCAGGAGAGGGUAGUGGAAUUCCCGGUGUAGUGGUGAAAUGCGUAGAUAUCGGGAGGAACACCAGUGGCGAAGGCGACUACCUGGCCUGUUCUUGACGCUGAGGCGCGAAAGCUAGGGGAGCAAACGGG
rnacentral:rRNA from 1 species